UGUGUGUGUGUGUGUGUGUGUAUAUCUAUAUCUAUAUCUAUAUAUGUAUAGAUACACACACACACACACACACACA
rnacentral:miRNA from 1 species